rnacentral:snRNA from 1 species
AGCUUUGCACAGUGGCAGUAUUGUAGUUAUCCAAGGUGGGAUUAUAGCUAAUUGAAAGCUUUUCAAUUAUUGCUAAUUGAAGCUUUUCCCAAUAUCCUGCCAUGACGACUUGCAAUAUAGUUGGCAUUGAAUUGGCAAUUUUUUACAGUCUCUAUGGAGA